rnacentral:pre_miRNA from 1 species
AGUGCAGUGAGGAGUGGUAACUCCACCACCGUUGGCGUGAAUAAGACUGCCAGCGGUUGAGGAGUUCCUCGGCCUCGCAGCGAG